rfam:Ictidomys tridecemlineatus contig037109, whole genome shotgun sequence.
UAAUAAGCCUUUUUAAAGGCUACCAGAAGUAUGCUCAUAGUGGUGU